GACGAACGCUGGCGGCGUGCUUAACACAUGCAAGUCGAACGAUGAAGCCCAGCUUGCUGGGUGGAUUAGUGGCGAACGGGUGAGUAACACGUGAGUAACCUGCCCUGGACUCUGGGAUAACCCCGAGAAAUCGGAGCUAAUACCGGAUAGGACCUUUCCUCGCAUGAGGUUUGGUGGAAAGUUUUUCGGUUUGGGAUGGACUCGCGGCCUAUCAGCUUGUUGGUGAGGUAAUGGCUCACCAAGGCGUCGACGGGUAGCCGGCCUGAGAGGGUGACCGGCCACACUGGGACUGAGACACGGCCCAGACCCCUACGGGAGGCAGCAGUGGGGAAUAUUGCACAAUGGGCGCAAGCCCGAUGCAGCAACGCCGCGUGCGGGAUGACGGCCUUCGGGUUGUAAACCGCUUUUAGUAGGGAAGAAGGGCUUCGGCUUGACGGUACCUGCAGAAAAAGGACCGGCUAACUACGUGCCAGCCGCCGCUGUAACAC
rnacentral:rRNA from 1 species